UCAAUACAAAGUGACAAUGUGGUUGAGGAAUAACAGUGCAGUCCUCCUUUGGCGUGCAGAUUGCAAAGAGAUAAUGCAUAUUAUUUCAUUCAUUUGCAUCCUUCUGUUUGCCAAAGGAGAAUUGCCCUGCCAUUCACUCUCGCAGCUAG
rnacentral:pre_miRNA from 1 species